rnacentral:rRNA from 1 species
AGAAUCAACGCUGGCGGCGUGCCUAACACAUGCAAGUCGAACGGGAAAGGGGAGCAAUCCCUGAGUAUAGUGGCGACCGGGUGAGUAACACGUGACUACCUGCCCUUGAGUGGGGGAUAACCUCGGGAAACCGAGGCUAAUACCGCAUAAUAUCGAAAGAUCAAAGGAGCAAUCCGCUUUUGGAGGGGUCGCGGCUGAUUAGCUAGUUGGUAGGGUAAUGGCCUACCAAGGCGAAGAUCGGUA